rnacentral:misc_RNA from 1 species
AAGUCGUAACAAGGUUUCCGUAGGUGAACCUGCGGAAGGAUCAUUACAGUGUCUUGGAGGCCGAGCCGCGCCGCUCCCCACGGGGGGUGACGGGGCCUGUGCCCCCUCCACACGUGUCUACCACACUCUGUUGCCUUGGCGGGUCUGCCCCUGUGGCUGCUGGGGAUCACCGCUGGUGUCCCGGGUCCGUACCCGCCGAUGGAACCUCUGAACCCUCUGUGAAUCUAGUGUGUCUGAGUGUUUGACAAAUCAAACAAAACUUUCAACAAUGGAUCUCUUGGUUCUG